rnacentral:misc_RNA from 1 species
AACGCACAUUGCGCCCUCUGGCAUUCCGGAGGGCACACCUGUCCGAGCGCCGUCGCAACACUGAGCCCCCCGGCUUGCGUUGGCGGACGACCAGUCCCCGGGUUUCUCUCGGGAGGGUCGCUGCCCAAACCUUGACGGCGCCGCGCCGCGGCCGACCCAGCGCAACUGCUCGAGGUCGACGCGCGGAGGCGGCGGCCCAACGAAAAAGACGAACAGCUUGGCCUCGGAUCAGGUGGGGAUACCCGCUGAACUUAA